UACGUAGGGAGCAAGCGUUGUCCGGAAUUACUGGGCGUAAAGGGCGCGUAGGCGGGAUUUUAAGUCAGGUGUGAAAACUCUGGGCUCAACUUAGAGACUGCACUUGAAACUGAAAUUCUUGAGGACAGGAGAGGAAAGUGGAAUUCCUAGUGUAGCGGUGAAAUGCGUAGAUAUUAGGAGGAACACCAGUGGCGAAGGCGACUUUCUGGACUGUAACUGACGCUGAGGCGCGAAAGCGUGGGGAGUGAACGGGAUUAGAUACCCCGGUAAUCCACGCUGUAAACGAUGGGUACUAGGUGUAGGAGGUAUCGACCCCUUCUGUGCCGGAGUUAACGCAAUAAGUACCCCGCCUGGGGAGUACGGCCGCAAGGUUGAA
rnacentral:rRNA from 1 species